GACGAACGCUGGCGGCGUGCCUAACACAUGCAAGUCGAGCGAGUGAAUCUCCUUCGGGAGUGAAGCUAGCGGCGGACGGGUGAGUAACACGUGGGCAACCUGCCUCAUAGAGGGGAAUAGCUUUUCGAAAGGAAGAUUAAUACCGCAUAAGAUUGUAGCUUCGCAUGAAGUAGCAAUUAAAGGAGCAAUCCGCUAUGAGAUGGGCCCGCGGCGCAUUAGCUAGUUGGUGAGGUAACGGCUCACCAAGGCGACGAUGCGUAGCCGACCUGAGAGGGUGAUCGGCCACAUUGGGACUGAGACACGGCCCAGACUCCUACGGGAGGCAGCAGUGGGGAAUAUUGCACAAUGGGGGAAACCCUAAUGCAGCAACGCCGCGUGAGUGAUGACGGCCUUCGGGUUGUAAAGCUCUGUCUUCAGGGACGAUAAUGACGGUACCUGAGGAGGAAGCCACGGCUAACUACGUGCCAGCAGCCGCCGUAA
rnacentral:rRNA from 1 species